AGGCCCUAGAAACACAAGACAAAAAAACCCUAACAGAUCCUAAUCCCCUCCAGGAGAACAAGCCAGCCAUUAACCUAACUCCUCCAAUCGAGAGCCAUCGAAACACCACCUCUCCAAGAAGCUUCAACCGCCCAUCCUCUUCCUCACCACCUGCCUCAAUUCCAAAAUACCCAAGCGCUGUUUCCCACCAUCCAGCCUCCACUCAACUGCCGAAAACCAACCCUUUCUCACCAAAACUCACCGGGAAACACACAGGUAAAAGCGAGGCAACGGAAACAGAGCUUCAUCACAAGAAAAAUAGAGUGGAACCCGGUCAAAAACAAAGAAAAAUCAAAUGAAAAUUCUGGAGUUGUUCUUGGUUCUUCCGAUGAAAGCAUAGAAGCUGAGAAUCGUUCAAAUGGAGUUGAAAACGGUGUUCAAUCGUUGGUGUUAUUGUUCAAUGUGCGGUCCAUUGGUUUCGUUCGAGUUGGAUUUGCUGAUUUCGAACUUCAUUCUUAGCUGCGGCAUUCUGUCCGUGAACUGCCAAAAUUAUUUUAAUUGCAAGAUUAUUUUCAGGUAUGGAGCAAUUUGCUAGAGUUUGAGCAUGACAAAUACCCAGGACCAUUCUAGUCAAGACCAUUGCAUGCACGAGCUGCUUGAGGAAACUUUUAUUUUUUAGUCUAUCUUAUGUUGUCUUUUAAUUUUUAGUCUUGUACAGUAGUAUCGAGUCUGUCAGUCUAGUUAAGAGUGUCGAGUCUUUUGUUAUAGUACUUCCUGUUUUGUAUUUGAAAAUCCAAAAAAAGAAAGUCGUAACUGAAAAAUCAAAAAAGAUUUUUAUUUUUUU